GUCCUUGUCGAUUAGUGGUUAGAUCAUGACGUUGUGGUUUGUGUAAUCGACCAAAAAUACCGUCAAGACGGAGGUUCGACUUCUCCCUGGGACA